rnacentral:rRNA from 1 species
UGGGGAAUAUUGCACAAUGGGCGGAAGCCUGAUGCAGCAACGCCGCGUGCGGGAUGACGGCCUUCGGGUUGUAAACCGCUUUCGCCUGUGACGAAGCGUGAGUGACGGUAAUGGGUAAAGAAGCACCGGCUAACUACGUGCCAGCAGCCGCGGUGAUACGUAGGGUGCGAGCGUUGUCCGGAUUUAUUGGGCGUAAAGGGCUCGUAGGUGGUUGAUCGCGUCGGAAGUGUAAUCUUGGGGCUUAACCCUGAGCGUGCUUUCGAUACGGGUUGACUUGAGGAAGGUAGGGGAGAAUGGAAUUCCUGGUGGAGCGGUGGAAUGCGCAGAUAUCAGGAGGAACACCAGUGGCGAAGGCGGUUCUCUGGGCCUUUCCUGACGCUGAGGAGCGAAAGCGUGGGGAGCGAACAGGCUUAGAUACCCUGGUAGUCCACGCUGUAAACGGUGGGUACUAGGUGUGGGGUCCACUCCACGGGUUCCGUACCGUAGCUAACGCUUUAAGUACCCCGCCUGGGGAGUACGGCCGCAAGGCUA